UCGAGUUGCAUCUUUUCCGAAUUAGUUUCCUCUUUACAAAACUGUAUCUACUUCGGUGUACUGAUAACGGUAUUGUGGGAUGUGAUGCUGAUUGGUUUGGUACAUCGCUAUCAGUGUUUCGGAGGAACCUGCUGCUUCAAUCGCCAGGGCAUUCGGCUACAAUUCUCACUAUGUUGAUAGCACGCGGAAGAACCGUGGUCACUGCUGUGUGUAGGUGCAUGUCGAAGCUUGAGACACUUCCAUUCGUUCGCCUGCAGAUAGCAGUCCAGAUCUGCAAAGAAUGCUGCCUCACAAUCUGGCGCACAAAUGACGAAGCCACGGGCACAUCGGUAAUACUCCGGAAUUUUAUUCUGGAGGCAUCCGAUUCGAAUCUUGGCCACGUUCGUUCCCCGCCCGAUGGAAAAAUCCGUGACAACUGGAUGUAUUGCAUGAACCCUCAUUAAAGACGUCCAUGUGGCCUUGUUUGAUUACCAU